rnacentral:rRNA from 1 species
CAAGACCUUGCGCUUUUGGAGCGGCCGAUGUCUGAUUAGCUAGUUGGUGAGGUAAAGGCUUACCAAGGCGUCGAUCAGUAGCUGGUCUGAGAGGACGACCAGCCACACUGGGGCUGAGACACGGCCCAGACUCCUACGGGAGGCAGCAGUGGGGAAUUUGGGACAAUGGGGGAAACCCUGAUCCAGCCAUGCCGCGUGAGUGAAGAAGGCCUUCGGGUUGUAAAGCUCUUUCAGCCGGAACGAAACGGUCACGGUUAAUACCCGUGACUACUGACGGUACCGGAAGAAGAAGCACCGGCUAACUACGUGCCAGCAGCCGCGGUAAUACGUAGGGUGCAAGCGUUAAUCGGAAUUACUGGGCGUAAAGCGUGCGCAGGCGGUUUUGUAAGUCAGAUGUGAAAUCCCCGGGCUUAACCUGGGAACU